GGAGCCAGCAGUGGGCGAAGCUUACUGCUGGAAACCCUAUGAAGAGAAGGGUUAUCGAGAGCUAAUGUAGGGGAUCAUUGAGGAUUCAGUGGACGCACAGCCAUCAACUAUCACUUUUAUUAUUCAAAUUAGUUUCCUCAAAUUACAGGAGACGGAGGAGGUUAAUUAUACAUUGUUUCUUGGUUUUAUAACUUUAUGUUUGUGUCCAGAUACGGCAAUUUAUUUCGCCGCCAACGCUACCUCAAAUUGCUUUUAUUUUUUGUUGAACCCCUUUCAUUCUCUGGGGUACACGGAAAAAGUGCGAAUUAAAACCGAGGUCGACUGCCUGAGAUCAGUUUGAUGAAGAAAGAUGAAAAGGUGAUGGCGUUCAAUACCAAUUUCUAUCAAAAGUAUAGCUGGUUAACAGGGAGCCUUUCAUCAAUCCGCCUGUAUUGCUGGCCUUGCCUGCUUUUUGGAAAGUCUGAGCCUUGGGCGAAAGAGGGGUACAGUGCCCAGAAGAACAUUGAUCGUUCAGCUAAACGACAAAACAAAAGCAGGGAGCGUAACGUUAUAAGAUUCAAACUUCUGGGAAAAACCCGCAUCUAUCAUGACGACGGUCUGCGUAUUCAAAAUGCGCAACACAAUGAGAAAAAGUGAACACUCCUCUCCACUACGAUUGUCAACUCUCUCCUGACAUGAACUGAAGCCACGUCUCAUGUUCCCGCUCAUCCACUGUUACAUUUAAUGUUUCCUCUCCAAACACUUCAAAUUCUGUCCUGCACUGAAGUCAAGCCUCCACUGGUCUCUGCCCUUGAAUGUCUGCAUUGGACAUCACUUGGCCUUCAUGGAGCAGC